GAUGGCGACCGGCGCACGGGUGAGUAACACGUAUCCAACCUGCCGAUGACUCGGGGAUAGCCUUUCGAAAGAAAGAUUAAUACCCGAUGGCAUAGUUCUUCCGCAUGGUGGAACUAUUAAAGAAUUUCGGUCAUCGAUGGGGAUGCGUUCCAUUAGGUUGUUGGCGGGGUAACGGCCCACCAAGCCUUCGAUGGAUAGGGGUUCUGAGAGGAAGGUCCCCCACAUUGGAACUGAGACACGGUUCAAACUCCUACGGGAGGCAGCAU
rnacentral:rRNA from 1 species